rnacentral:rRNA from 1 species
GACGAACGCUGGCGGCGUGCUUAACACAUGCAAGUCGAACGGUAAGGCCCUUCGGGGUACACGAGUGGCGAACGGGUGAGUAACACGUGGGUGAUCUGCCCUGCACUUCGGGAUAAGCCUGGGAAACUGGGUCUAAUACCGGAUAGGACCACUGCCUGCAUGGGUGGUGGUGGAAAGCUUUUGCGGUGUGGGAUGGGCCCGCGGCCUAUCAGCUUGUUGGUGGGGUGAUGGCCUACCAAGGCGACGACGGGUAGCCGGCCUGAGAGGGUGACCGGCCACACUGGGACUGAGAUACGGCGCGGACUCCUACGGGAGGCAGCAGUGGGGAAUAUUGCACAAUGGGCGCAAGCCUGAUGCAGCGACGCCGCGUGAGGGAUGACGGCCUUCGGGUUGUAAACCUCUUUCAGCACCGACGAAGCGCAAGUGACGGUAGGUGCAGAAGAAGGACCGGCCAACUACGUGCCAGCCGCCGCGGUAA